UACGUAGGUGGCAAGCGUUGUCCGGAUUUACUGGGCGUAAAGAGCGCGCAGGCGGUCGUUCAAGUCGCGUGUGAAAGCCCCGGCUCAACUGGGGAGGUCACGCGAUACUGAUCGACUCGAAGGCAGGAGAGGGUAGUGGAAUUCCCGGUGUAGUGGUGAAAUGCGUAGAUAUCGGGAGGAACACCAGUGGCGAAGGCGACUACCUGCCUGUUCUUGACGCUGAGGCGCGAAGGCGUGGGAGCGAACGGG
rnacentral:rRNA from 1 species